GGGACUGUGGUUUAAUGGUAGAGUGCUUGCCUAGUAUGCAUGAAUCCCUGGGUUCAGUUCCUCAGUACCA
rnacentral:tRNA from 1 species